GAUGAAGAACGUAGCGAAAUGCGAUAAGUAAUGUGAAUUGCAGAAUUCAGUGAAUCAUCGAAUCUUUGAACGCACAUUGCGCCCGGCAGUACUCUGCCGGGCAUGCCUGUUCGAGCGUCAUUUCAACCCUCAAGCCCUGCUUGGUGUUGGGGCCCCACGGCUGCCGUGGGCCCUGAAAGGAAGUGGCGGGCUCGCUACAACUCCGAGCGUAGUAAUUCAUUAUCUCGCUUAGGGCGUUGGGCGGCGCUCCAGCCGUUAAAGAACCAUCUUUAACUCAAGGUUGACCUCGGAUCAGGUAGGAAUACCCGCUGAACUUAAGCAUAUCAAAGCGGAGGA
rnacentral:misc_RNA from 1 species